rnacentral:rRNA from 1 species
GGAAUCUUCGGCAAUGGACGAAAGUCUGACCGAGCAACGCCGCGUGAGUGAAGAAGGUUUUCGGAUCGUAAAACUCUGUUGGUAGAGAAGAACGUUGGCGAGAGUGGAAAGCUCAUCAAGUGACGGUAACUACCCAGAAAGGGACGGCUAACUACGUGCCAG